rnacentral:lncRNA from 1 species
AGUUUCUGAGCUGUGCCUUGUGGAUGGUGGCUGUGUGUUAUGCUGUCUCAGAGGAGAGCGUGAGGCUUGCCUGGGAAGGAAGCCACCACGGAUUCCUAGCUAGAAGCUAAAGUGAAGGUGGGAUUCUUGCGGGGGCAGGGAUCGAGUCAAACCUUGGAAAUGACGUCAUUCUGAACUCAUCUGCCUUUAUCCAGAAGACUACCAAAGCAAACCAGAGGACCAGAGAACAGCAGCUGCUCUGGACAAAGAGGGGAGGACACCCACACCCACAUACCAAGUUCUGGUUGACUUCUACAGCAGAAGAAGCAGGAGACACAAGAAGACUCAGAGGGACUGAAAUAUAAGAAGAUCGAUGCCAGAUGUUGUUGUGAUGACAACCUGUUGGGUUGAAGGACCCCAGGAAGACACAGUCCAGAUUCACAGGGACAGAGCCACUCACCUAUUGUCACAUGCAGCACAGAAUAAUGCAGAGGCAUGGCAUCAUAACAAUUCCUGAAUGGUGCUUCUCAGAAGAUGGUACUUCUUGGGGUCUGGUACCUGGACUAGUGAGGCUUCUCAGGGGAUGGGACCCCAACCCAGAAUGACAACAUCACCUGAUAACUUCAUCUUCAUCAUUAUCAUCAUCAUCAUCAUUGUUGUUAUUCCUUUUGUUUUGUUUUGAGAUUGUAAUAAAAUUAUAUCAUUUCUCCAUUGCCCUCCCUCCCUCCAAACCCUGUGAUUUACCUCUCCUUGCUCUCUCAAAUUCAUAGCCCCUUUCCCCCCACAAAUUGCUGUUAUACAUAUAUACGUACAUACACAUAUUUCUAAACACACAAAAA